AGCCCGUCUGAGUGUAGUGGAUUUUACAACUAAUCGAUCACAACCAGUUACAGAUUUCUUUGUUCCUUCUUCACUACCUCUACUUCACUGACUAGCCCAAA
rnacentral:Y_RNA from 1 species